GGAUGGGAGGGAGGUCUGGGUGCGGUAGCUGUCAUUUUCCUGGUUGCCAGGGAGUACUUUUCUUGGCUGAUCUGGCUAGCUGGGCAGGUGCCUUCCCUCCUUUGCUCGCUCUCUGCAACAUGCCCUGCACCAUGUGAACAGCCUUCCUCAUGGUGCGCCCACAUUUGAAAUAGGUCCGUCCGCCCAUGCAUUCUCUCAGUCACAAACAUUUAUUGAGCACCCACUAUAU
rnacentral:sRNA from 1 species